rnacentral:lncRNA from 1 species
GGGUCUCCAUUCUACAUCUACUGGGAAGCCAGUCACUGGGGUGCUGUGUGUUUUUGGAAGCUGCCACAGCAAGUCACCACAAGGCCGGGACUGACACAAGCUUGCUGUUGCUCUGCAGACUAGUAGCCCAGCAUGGCCUCCCGGGACAACAUGAAGCCAUUGAUGUGACUGCAUCUCUUACUAGAAGAUUCUUAAUCAAUUCCAAAGGCAUCUAGGAUGACAUUUUCUGAUACAGUGUAGAAAAGUCUAACCUGAUAAUGUGGCAUCACUCACUUUCCCCAGUGGCUUUAUUAUAACUUCUGUAUUAAAAAAAAAAAAUAAGGAAAAGAAAUCUCUUGAUUGUUAAGGGGGAACUUGAGGAGAAUAACAUCUCCAGGAAUGACUAAAUAUGAUGUUUUGAAAACUUUCUCAAGACCUUCUCAACAGCUUCCAGAAUCUGGCUGCUACUUGUUUGUCUUGCUAGUGACAUUUGGGGACAGUGCUUAGAGGACUGAGGUUGCCUUCCCCUUGCUGCUGGCUUCUGACCCUCUUCCUUCAUAUCCAAGGGGCCUCAAGGAGUACAGACUCGGUAUUACAUCAGGCAGUUAUCAGUAAUCUGGUAACACAUGUCCGAUGCCAGUUACGGUUCUCUGGUUGAAUCUGAUAGGUGCAGAUCCCA